rnacentral:misc_RNA from 1 species
UCCGGUUUAUCACCGGCAGUCCCUGCAGAGUCCUCGGCCGGAUUGCUCCGCCGUUAGCAACAGCAGGCAAGGGUUGCGCUCGUUGCGGCACUUAAGCCAACACCUCACGACACGAGCUGACGACAACCAUGCACCACCUGUGAACCAGCCCCAAAGGGGAAGGACUGUUUCCAGCCCGGUCCGGUCCAUGUCAAGCCUUGGUAAGGUUCUUCGCGUUGCAUCGAAUUAAUCCGCAUGCUCCGCCGCUUGUGCGGGCCCCCGUCAAUUCCUUUGAGUUUUAGCCUUGCGGCCGUACUCCCCAGGCGGGGUGCUUAAUGCGUUUGCGACGGCACGGAAGGGGUUGAUGCCUCCCACACCUAGCACCCAACGUUUACGGCUGGGACUAC